CUGGAGGGGUUUAGAACAAAAUUAAACCUCUAGCUCGCUGCUACUGUCCCGGAAGCUCUGACCAAGACGACGACGAAGAUGGGUGAAGAGGAAGCAGUAGUAGCUGAUGAAAAUGGCGGAUUAAAGGUAGAUUCUGGAGAGCAAACUUCAUCGUGGCCUAAUAUGAGAUUCGAUGUAUCUCCUUACAGAACGCACCAUUUCUUCAAGCAGUUCAGGAAUACUCGAAACCCUAAUAAUUUCCUCAAGGGUCUUAAAUGGUCACCUGAUGGUUCAUGUUUCCUUACUAGCUCCGAGGACAAUACACUUAGUCUGUUUUAUCUGCCUCAAGAUGGAGGGGAUUCUAAUGGCUAUGGAGUGCCAAUCCCUGAAGAAGAUUCGUAUGGUGCUAGUCUUCUUAUCAAUGAGGGUGAAUCUGUAUAUGAUUUCUGUUGGUAUCCAUACAUGUCAGUUUCAGAUCCUUUAACAUGCGUCUUUGCUACCUCAACUAGAGACCAUCCAAUCCAUCUUUGGGAUAGUACUUCUGGUGAGCUUCGGUGCACGUACCGAGCCUAUGAUGCUAUGGAUGAAAUAACUGCUGCUUUUUCAGUUGGAUUUAAUCCUAAUGGAACCAAGAUCUAUGCUGGCUAUAACAGCUCCAUCAGAGUGUUUGAUCUUCAUCGUCCUGGUAGAGAUUUUGGACAGUAUUCAACUCUUCAGAAAAAUAAAGAGGGCCAAGCAGGUAUAUUAUCUACUCUUGCUUUCUCCCCAACUAAUACUGGAAUGUUGGCUGUGGGCUCUUACGGACAAACUACUGGGAUUUAUAGAGAAGAUAACAUGGAGCUAUUGUAUGUUUUACAUGGUCAAGAAGGUGGUGUUACACACGUCCAGUUUUCAAAGGAUGGGAACUACUUAUAUACAGGAGGUCGCAAGGAUCCUUACAUUCUUUGCUGGGAUAUGAGGAAAUCUGUUGAGAUAGUCUAUAAAUUGUACAGAGCAACUGAGAACACAAACCAGCGGGUAUUCUUUGAUAUUGAGCCAUGUGGUCGACAUUUAGGAACUGGUGGUCAGGAUGGGCUAGUUCACAUGUAUGAUCUACAAACCGGAAACUGGGUCUCUGGAUAUCAAGCUGCUUCAGAUACUGUCAAUGCUUUCUCUUUCCACCCAUACCUACCAAUGGCUGCUACAUCCUCUGGUCACAGACGUUUCGCAAUUCCAGAUGAUGAAGAUGAAGAUAAGAACGAUCUCGAACUGAAAGCUGACGAAAACUGUGUAUCUCUCUGGAGUUUCUACGUUACAUCCGAAGAGAACAACAACACUUGUGAUGAAAACAAUGGCGUUACAAACAAGUCUCAUCCCCAAAAUGUAACCGGAGAAGAAGAAUUAGCCUAAACGUUCAGAUCACAAACCAAUGUUACUGCUCACAGAAGAUAAUACAUGGAGAGGAAAAAAGCUAUUUCGUUAUGACAAUCGUUGGAGGUUCAAUCAAGAAGCUCAACGGGUUAUUAAGGACACUUGGUCGCAAUAUUGUCAUCAGCUUCAACCACAACAUUUUAAUGAGGCACUACUAAGAUGCAGAAACAGCUUAUCUAGAUGGAAAUCAGGCCAAACCCUUAACUCCAACAGAAAGAUUCAACAGCUUUGCCAAGACCUUCAAAAAGCUAGUAACCUGGAAGCUAUACUGGACCAUAUCCAACCAAAAGUCUCUCAAGAAAUGAAUCAGAAGCUUACUGCUCCAGUCUCAGAAGAAGAAGUUUACCAAGCUCUUUCCCAUAUGAGUGUAGACAAGGCACCAGGACCUGAUGGACUAAAUGCAGGGUUCUACAAAUACCAUUGGAAUGCUAUAAAAUCAGAAAAGUGGUGCUCCUGGAUCAUGAAGUGCAUCACUACAGUAUCAUAUUCAGUCCUUGUUAACGGCUCUCCUUCCAAGAAAAUCAUCCCCCAAAGAGGCAUACGACAAGCUAAUGAAGAGGAAUGCAAAAGAAUCUUGGAAAUUCUCAAAUUAUAUGCCUCAGCUUCAGGACAACAUAUCAACUUCCAGAAAUCGGCCAUACUGUUUGGACAUAUCAGGAAAUUUUGGUGGUCAAGUAUCAAGGACAAGCACAAAAUUCCUUGGGUAGCCUGGAGUAAAAUAACAAAGUUAAAGCAAUAUGGAGGUUUGGGGUUCAGAGAUCUUCACCAUUUUAAUAUUGCCUUGUUAGCAAAGCAACCUUGGAGAAUGCUAAAACAGCCUCAAUCUCUCUUGACAAGAGUCCUCCACGCAAAAUACUUUUCCAACACUGGUUUAAUGGAUGCUACUUUGGGACAUAGGCCUAGCCAUGCUUGGAGAAGUAUCUUACAAGGCCUGCAGCUGAUCAAACAAGGUUUAAAAUGGAGAAUUGGUGAUGGU